AUCAGAUAUCCUGAGUGGGAAGGGACACACCAGAAGCACCAGGCUGAACCCUUAUGUGAAGGGUUCAGCUGUGGAUUGAACCCACAAUCUGGGCAUUUUCAGCACCCUUCACCACCCAAGCCAAUCUCAGUGAGAAGAACAUGAACUCACCACCAUUAAGGCCUGGCAGUUCCCUGCAGUGAGAGCUCAGUGCACAUCCACAGAGGCAAUUCCAGCAUCUGAAAGGAAGAAAAGAAGAAAAAGGACUUUUCCAAUCCAACCCUGAAGCUGAGAAGCCCAAAAGCUCUGGAGUCUGCUCUGGAACAAAAGGAUCCUCCCAGGGCUGAGGCCCAUUCCCAGCAAACCCUCCCAACAGGCCCAGAGGCGCCGCUGGAGCUCCUGCUGGGCUGGGAAGGGCUGCCAGGAGGACACAGCCCCAGGGGUGGCAGUGGCAGUAGGAAAUGGCCACUCUGGGAUGGCACAGCAGAGCCCAAGGCCAGCAAUGGCCACGGCAGCUGCAGGGUUAAUUCUGCUCCCUGCGCUGCCCCAGCCCGGCAGGAAAUGCCCGGGGGGACAGAAACUCUCGGGGUGCACAAAGUGCAGCAUCUGUGCCCUGAUCCUGCCUGAGCCCAGCGUGGGGGGCCAACCCCCCCAGGGUCAGCCCUGCCCUGCCCUGGCUCAGCCCCAGACACUGCCCCAGCUCCCGGCUGCUCCCGGGGCUGCCACCACUCCUGGCAAGGGGACAAAGGUGACAAAGGCCACAACUGCAUCCAGGCCCAUCACUCCAUCCAGGUCCUCCCAAUCCUCCCAGAGCUCCCCAUCUGUGCUUUGGCCAGUGCCUGCCCCCAGCCCUGCAGCAUCCAGAAAGUUUG